GGAGUCGUAGUUCAGUGGUAGAAUAUCGGAUUCCAAAUCCGCCGGUCGCAGGUUCAAUCCCUGUCGACUUCA